GACGUAGGGCGCGAGCGUUGUCCGGAUUUAUUGGGCGUAAAGAGCUCGUAGGCGGCUCGUUGCGUCGGCUGUGAAAACCCGCAGCUCAACUGUGGGCUUGCAGCCGAUACGGGCGGGCUUGAGUUCGGUAGGGGAGACUGGAAUUCCUGGUGUAGCGGUGAAAUGCGCAGAUAUCAGGAGGAACACCGGUGGCGAAGGCGGGUCUCUGGGCCGAAACUGACGCUGAGGUGCGAAAGCGUGGGGAGCAAACAGG
rnacentral:rRNA from 1 species